GGGCGUAUGGUCUAGAGGUAUGAUACCUGCUUUGGGUUCUAUAGUAUCCUUUGCAGGGGGUCUUCGGUUCGAAUCCGGAUUCGCCCC